rnacentral:sRNA from 1 species
GUUAGAGUGAUUUUGGCUCUGAUAAUACCGCUGAAUUUAUGUUCAUUACGAAGUUCCUAGUAGUACCUCGUCCUGUAUUUCAUAAGUCAAGGCUGUAUUUUCAAGUCGAUUUUUCUAGCAAGUUUGUUUACAGGAUUUAGGUAUGUCUAACACUGUUAAAGGUAAAGUAAAGUUCUUCAAUGAAGCCAAAGGUUUCGGUUUCAUCGAGCAGGAACAAGGCCCUGACGUAUUCGUACACUUCAGCGCCAUUCAGACUCCGGGCUUCAAGACCCUGGCUGAAGGUCAGUCCGUUGAGUUCACCGUAGCCCAAGGCCAGAAAGGUCCUCAGGCUGAGAACGUAGUACCUCUGUAAGAGGCUGCGUCUAAAAGCAUUUCAAAGCCGCGCUCUCGAGCGCGGCUUUUUUA